rnacentral:misc_RNA from 1 species
CCCUUCACAUCUUCCCCUUUUUUCAGAGAAGCCGAGCCGUUGGCAUCGAAUUUGGCUCCAACUUCAUCUUCCACACCUGACCUUUCUUCUAUAAUUGGCUUGUUCUCAACAAGAUGCUUCUCCACAUAAGGCUUUUCAUCAACGGCCAGCCUUUCCUCCGUCUUUGGCGUCACUUCAGCAGCUUCCGGUUGCUGAUUCUGUCCCUUGGCUACCCCUCUCGAGGCUCUCACAGCCCUCUUCGACCCCGCUUCCGCAGCACCUCUCUUCACCAUCCGUGGAGGCAUUGUUUCAGAUAAAUAGUAGAUUAAAUCGUGAAAACAGUACGAAUUGCUUGUUAAAAACCCUAAUUUAUACCCUCAAAUCGUAUAAACAACCCUAAUUAAUAACCAGCAGAAACGGUGACAGAAAGCAUAAUCUAAACCCUAAAUUAACCUCACAACAGAAACCCUAUAUUCCGGAACUAAAACGCAAAGAAUAAAAAACCCUGGGAAAA